CAAGCUGAAAAUUGAUCUAAGACUUGAUGGUGCAACGCAUAUGUUUAGUAAGCUGAGCUUAAGGCAUGUUUUAAGCUUAGGAUCUGUUGGUGCAACCAGGCAUAAAUCAUUCUUCUUCUUAAAGUUCCAUCUCCUAGCGGAGGUUGGAUAUCAUAAUGGCUAUGGUCACUUUGUUGGCUGCUGCUCUGAACAGUUGUAAUGAACUACAGUUAAACCAUUCUCUAAGGUUCCUCAGCCAGGAAAUGCGUCUUCUUCCUUGGAUCCUUCCUUGCAUAACAAUUCUCAGCAACUUGUAUUUUUUUCUCCUCUGGUAAUGUGACCCAAAUAUUCCAGUUUUCUAGUUUUUAUACUCUUCACAAUUAUUUCUAACUCCUUAUUUAAACGUCGCGGUCGUAGCACUUCAACAUUGGUAAUCCUUUGAACCCACUGAAUUUUCAAUAUUCUUCUGUAACACCACAUUUGGAACGCUUCUAUUCUUCUUAUGUGUUGUCUCUUCAAUGUCCAAGCUUCCAUUCCGUAUAGCAAUAUAAAAAAUAUGUAGCAUCUUUGAGCCCUCAAUCUGAGAGGCAACUGAAGGUCUUUGUUUGUAAGCGGUGUCUUCAUUUUUAUAAAUGCUUGCCUUACAGUUUCAAUUCGGACUUUAAUUUCUUGGCUUUGGUCAUUUUUGUCAUCAACCCAGGUUCCCAGAUAUUUGUAUGUCUUCACUUUUUCUAUUUGGAUUUGCUCUAUCAUUAACCUUUCAUUUCCAUGUUCUGUUUUUGAGACAAACAUGAAUUUAGUUUUUUUCUUGUUUAUUUUUAGUCCGUAUCGAAUGCAAUAAUCGUUAAUUCUAUUUAGCAAUUCUUGUAGCGAUUCCAGUGUGUCUACCAUUAUAACAGAGUCAUCAGCGAAUCUUAUGUUAUUUACUAUUCUUCCGGUUAUAGAGAUUCCAUCACUUAGCUCCGCUAUCGCUUCCUGAAAUAUGGCUUCACUGUACAGGUUAAACAGUAGCGGCGACAGAACACAACCCUGUCUUAUUGCUCUCUUUAUAUCAAUAUUCUCGGAUUCUUGUUCUUCUAUCUUUAUAUUGGCCUUUUGAUUCCAAUACAGAUUGAUGAUAAUUCGUAAAUCUCGUCUGUCUAUAUCUCUGUUUUUCAAUAAUUCUAUUAGUUUUUUAUGUCGGACCCUGUCAAACGCUUUUUCGAAGUCGAUGAAACAGGAAUAAAUAUCCAGGUUCAUAUCUAAGCAUCGUUGAGAGAGGACAUUAAACGCAAACAAUGCCUCUCUUGUUAUAAGUCCUUUACGUAACCCAAAUUGGGUAUCAUCCAUAUCAUAUUCUAGCUUUCUGUAUAAUCUUCCAUGAAUCACCUUUAGAAAUAUUUUACUGCGCAUCAUCGUCGUAUUAUUUAUAUUUGUAUAUAUUAUAUAUUACUAUACAGGGUGUUCCUAAAGUAGCGGACAUUUUUUUAGAUUUGUUGACAGAUGGCGCUAAUAAAUCGUAUUUUUCCAAUUACAGCGCCAUCUCUCAACAAUUCUAAAAAAUGUGUCGAAUAAAUAUUCCUAAUUUUUUGAUGAGCAAUCCAAAUCUGCAUUAAAAAUCGAGGGUUCAUAUUUAAGAUUUUAAAGUUACCCCCACCCCACCUCCAGGAGUGGAGUGGAGGCCGUGUUUGGUAUCAUUCGAUAGAUUUUUGAAAAAUAUUGAAAAUGUAGUUUUCGGUUUUUCGAUCAGAUGUGAACAUUUCGCGAAAUAUUCGAUCGUCUUGCUACUUUUGGGACACCCUGUAAAAUAAUAUAUAAUAGGUUUGUUCUAGCAUCAGUUUCAAACGGUUUGAAACCAUCAGCGAAUAGUGGACCAGCGCGAGUAGAGGGAAUAUCACUUUUGACUGUAUUAUGUUCUCUCACUAACCAACUGUUUGCUGGUGGUUUCUGACUAGUUUGACUGUUUGCUAGAACAAACCUAUUAUAUAAUUAUAAAUAAUACGACUGGUAAUGCUCAGUAAAAGAUCUCAGUAGACGGAAUUCAUUAUCUCACUCGUUCGUAUACACUCGAGUACAUAUUGUCUCACGCUCGUACCUACAGUAGACUUUCAAUGUGUCCGGUAAGGUGAAAAAAUCAUUGAAACUGUCCGGCUACUGAGAUAUUCUCUUUUGAUAGCAGUCCAAGUAACAUAUUAUGAAAUUCAGCUUUUAUACUUUAAGGCAUGAUACUAUAAAUAACGAGAUAGUAUCUUCCCGUAACUCAAAUACGUCCGAAUUCGCGCAUUAUGACGUAACUGGAGACCGGAAAUUGAAUUGGAAUUCUUGUUAAAGUUAAAUGGGAUUUGUAUGCAUUCUGUGAUGAAAUUAUUCAAUUAGCAAAAUAAUAUUAAACUUCAAUAUAUUCGAAAAAAAUUUAGUGUCGAGAUUCCUCUCAAAAUAACUGUCAAAGAUAAAAUAUAAAAUACACUUAGCCUACAACCGCGAACAAUUAAAACUAAUCGGACAUUACGGAUGAUUACGAACCAUUACGAACGUAAGGUCUCCAGUUACGUCACGACUUCAGGAUGUGCGAUAUAUUAGGUUCGUUCCAAGACGACACAUUUGUACGAUCCCUUGAACCGUCACGAAAUCGAUUGGACUGUCUUAAUGCGCAGAAUCGCCCUUGAACGGUUUUAUUUCGAUCGCGAACCGAUUACCCGUAGUAACCCUCUUGGAACGUAUUUGUGUACCAUUUCAAGUUCGAGUUGCGCCUGAGCCAUUUUAAUGAGAGUACCACUAGUAGUUUGCUAGAUGGUUAGAAAUUAUCAUUUCUAACAUGUUCAUUAAAUAUCACUUCAAAAUCUUCGUCAGAAUCGAUAUCUGACAAAUCGCUCUCUUUUAUGGAAAAAAAAUAAUAAAUUAUCCAUAUUUUUAAGAUUAAUUUGAAAAAAAAAGAAUUAAUAAUUAUUUAAACGAAAAUCAAGAUUCACAGGUACUAAUAGCGUGGAUUGUGGAUUAUUUUGAUUGAAUCAUCAGCUGAUCUCAUAGCAGUGACCAUUAAAAAUGAAAACAAUCCUAACUGCGCAAGUCAGUACAAAUAGUUUCUGCUUGAAGGCAUGUAUCAAAAGGACCGUUCAUUUACCGAUUUCGAAACGGUACAUGGAUCGCUUGGAACAACACAGUGUACGAUACGAAUCAUCGUUCAUGUUCACUUGGAACGCAUUUUUUAUAAUGCGCAUGACGAGGGCAGUACGAAGGACGGUUUUCAUGUUACUUGGAACGCGCCUAUUAUCUUGUUAUUUAUAAGGCUUGUUCCAACUUGACACAAAACCGUUCUUGAACCGCCACGCUCAUGCGCAAUAACGGACAAUUAUGCGCAGUAACACAUUUUUCGUUACUGCGCGGUUCACGAACCGUUCAAGAACGGUCUUGUGUCGAGUUGGAACAAGCCUAUAGUAUCAUGCUUCAAGGAAAGUAACAUAAUAUUUUACACACCUUUGCUACCUGUUACCUGCUCAAGUAACCACGAUCCAAAGUCCGUACUCGCUUAUCGUUUUUACCUGUGUUGGGGACAUGCGCAGAGAUCUUUCAGCUUUCAUUAAAUAUGGAAUGCCUAGCGGCCACGGGGCCUUGGGCUAUAACGUAAAGUUCUGAUUAAUGGAAUAUAGGCCUUCUCAGUGGUGUGUAAAAAUUAUAAAAGUAUAUAUUUUACGCUUUACCAAGUAACUACUAAAUUAGCGAGUUAUAUAAAUGUCAAUUAUUUAUUGAAUUCUUGUGAACAUCUUGUAUGGAAUGAUGAAUGAUAAAUGGUAUGGUACAAAAUAUUUACUUAUAUUGAUUUAAUUUUAUAUUCAAUUUUUUAAACAUUGAUCGUCAUAUAAAAUAAAAAGGGGACAUACAAUGUUUGUUCUAAAAUGAUCCGACCUUUGUUCAUAAUGUCAUUCAUCUCCAUCCAGCUUGGGUCAUUAUUGGACUUAACGAUAAGCAUUCGUCGGUGCUUAAGUUUUCUUCUUACAGUGCAUAUCCGUUUCGGGUGUUGGCGACCAUCAUGGCAAUCAGCAGUUUGCACACUGCUGCUCUAAUAAGAUUUGUGGUUGUUGUGUUGAACCACGUACGUGGAUUUUCAGCCAGCACAUCCUUCGCCUUCCUGGUCUUCAUUUUCCUUCUACUUUUCCUUGUAAAUUAGUUGCAGCAGUCCAUAUUUCGCUGUUCCUCAUGCUGUAAUCGAGGAAUUCGAUUUUGGUCGUGUUUAUUAUGGUUAAGUGCUCUUUUUCUUUUUGUAUGUUUAAUAAAAAACCCUGAUUAGUAACGUGGUCGAUACACGAUAUCUUCAGGAUUCGACGAUAACGCCACAUUUCGAAAUACUCAAUUUUCUUGCAGGUGGCGUCUACGAGAGUCCACGACUCAACUUCGUACAACAGUCUAAGCCAUCAUAGUAACCUGAAUGUUAUGGGAAUUGAUAAAUCAUGACAUUUGAAUAGCUUAGCCAUUUUUGAAAUACAGAUCGUGCUUCCUCUAUCCUACAUUCGAUUUCUAUGGAAGGAUCCCAAUUUUCAUUGGUGUUCGUACCAAGGUUGGUGCAUGUUUUUGCUCUUUCUAUUUGUUGACAGUUCACACUCAGUUGUCCAAAUUUCUUCAGUCACUGAAGUAAUUCUGAAAUUCAGUUUUUGUAAUGCCUUCAAGACCAUCGUCACAUUCGUUUGAAUCAUCUCUAUGUAGUGGAAACGUUACAGGCUGUUGUCUGGACUUUAUGGAGACUGACGGAGUUGUACCCUUGUGUUUUUCCAAAAAGUCUUGCAGUAGGUUUGACAAAUGUGCUGGCGCAUUAUCGUUAUGAAGAAAACUUCAUUCCAAAAAUGUGGUCGGCUUUUUUUAGAACUAGUACUUAUAAUUCUUUGGUUAUUGUCUGACCUCUUGGAGCGUAUUUAUGGAGCAUAGACGCCCGGAUGGAAGCUUUCUUUAUGAAGACUGCUCUUUUGUUUCAGAGUCAUAACUGUAAACCCACGUCUCAAGAGUCAUAUCUUUUAAGCAUGAUUUUAUCAUGAGCGACCAUUUUUAAGUUUUUUAAUGACUUUCUACUGUACCGUUAUUCAUUUUGGAAUGCUUGACACUCACGCACCUAUCUCAUUCCCAAAUUCUCGAUUAGAAUUGUUAAAAUACUAGUUGUUUUAUAUUCCAUGAUCGUUUUGUAGUUCGUCUAACGACGGUUUUUCGAUUUUAUCCAGUAUCAUAUUUUCUAUAUUUUCCUGUGUUAUGCUGAAAGGUCAAUAUCAACAGACGUGCGGUCAUCUUUAAACCGAUAUAACCAUUCUUUUAUCUGUGUUUUGCGUAUAUACAUUAAUCUUCAAAUCACUUUUGCAUUAUUUGAAUAGUUUCUGGACAUGUUUUUUCGUGUCUGAUGCAAAACUGAAUCCUGAUUGGUUGCUUGUAUCUCCCCCUUAUUUUCAAUGAUAACAUAAAGUAACGAACACAAAAAGACAAUGUAAACAGAAGCAUGCUGUUACGAAGUAGACACUUUCUAUUGGUAAAUACUGCUUACGGAAAUUUCUACUACUGAUUUCGCUCAUACCCCACAGAGGGCACUGAAAUGUUUUGGCGUGAAGUUGUAAGGUAGAAUAAAUACAUUUGGAACAAACCUCGUAUUCAUAUUUUUAUACAGUGAUGAGCGCGCUAAUAACCGGCAAAAUAACGCAAAAGAUGGAAAACAUAAUACCUUGCGCAACACAAAGAGAUGAAAUUAGUGGAGGUGGAAAUGAUAGUUAUAAACGUAUAAAUUAACAUUACAUUACAUAGUUUCCCACCUUUAGACGUAUCGAAGGAGUAUGACAAGUGUCAUUGUGACAGUAGAAUUUAAUAAAAUACUCCUGUCACAGACGUCUAAAGGUGGGAAACUAUGUAAUGUUAAUUAUUUAUACGUUUAGAACGAUAAUUUCCAUUUCCACUAGUUUCAUCUCUUUUUGUUUCGUAAUGUAUUAUGUUUUCCAUCUUUUGCGUUAUUUUUCCGGUUAUUAGCGCAAAUUUCAAUUUCAAAGGAUUUAAAACAUUUCAUCAAAUAUUUAUUAAACAUUAAGGGUCAUAUGGCUUUUCAUUCACAGUCAUUUGUUUCGAGAUUCUGUCAUAUGUUGUAUAAUCUGUGUAUAAUAUUAAUAUACGACAUAUGACAGAAACUCGAAACAAAUGACAAUCGAUGGAAAGCCCUAUUAAGAUGAUAUUCAGAUAAAAUUAAGAAAAGCCAUAUACUGUAAAUGGAAAGAACAACACGAAAUUAUUGUACAUACAUGGACAAACUCUCUUUUGUUUUCUUCCAAAAUGAUGAUGAUAUGACGAUCAAUGUGAUAAAUUUAUGAUGAUUUGUAGAUGUUCUCCAUAAUCUUAACAUUUUGUUGCUAGAUGAUUAAAUGACAUUAAAACACAUUAAACAAUUGGUAAUAUAAUGAUGCAUAUUUUGAUUUUUUACGAAUUGUUCUGUGUUUAGAGGUAAGGACUCUUUUUGUACAUUUGUUAAUACUUUUUGACUGAUCGACUUAAAAGUGAAUGUAUUUAGAAUACGUAAUCAGUUGUACAAUAAACUUUUUUUUAUUAAAA